rnacentral:rRNA from 1 species
GACGUAGGGCGCGAGCGUUGUCCGGAUUUAUUGGGCGUAAAGAGCUCGUAGGCGGCUUGUCGCGUCGUUCGUGAAAACUUGGGGCUCAACUCCAAGCUUGCGGUCGAUACGGGCAGGCUAGAGUUCGGUAGGGGAGACUGGAAUUCCUGGUGUAGCGGUGAAAUGCGCAGAUAUCAGGAGGAACACCGGUGGCGAAGGCGGGUCUCUGGGCCGAUACUGACGCUGAGGAGCGAAAGCGUGGGGAGCGAACAGG